CCUGGCUUUUCAUUCUCCUCAGUGUAAAUGUGCUCUUUCUAUCUUAGGUAUCUUCAACAUUCAUUAACAUUUGCAUGUCUUAAAAAUGUUAAUCAUGCUCAAUAUUGAGGGAAUAAUUAUGUAACUUCAGUCUCAGGAUUUGCAUGUGCUCAGAGAAACGUUACGCAAUCCAUUUGGGUUUCUUUCUGAGAGUCAUGAAUCAUCAAACAUCCUCUGAACUCUUGCUGAAACCAUUCUGGUGGCAGAACUGCUUUAGGGGUGACAUCUUUUGGGACUUUGAGGACAAGUUAUCGAUGUCUCUGGUCUUGCAUGCUGGCUGUGUUGCAGACUGAAGACACACUCUCAGAGGCUUUCCUAGAGAAGCAGGACUCCCAGGACACCUUGGACAUACUGAGAAGAGCUCUGACAUCAGCCUCUGAGAUGGCAGGACAGCACGUGAUGUAUCAACCACGUUGGUAACCUCCUCCAUGCACAGAAG
rnacentral:lncRNA from 1 species